UUUAACCUCAAAUCAGGUAGGAUUACCCGCUGAACUUAAGCAUAUCAAUAAGCGGAGGAAAAGAAACUAACAAGGAUUCC
rnacentral:rRNA from 1 species